rnacentral:rRNA from 1 species
UGCGUAGGCGGGUCUUUAAGUCAGGGGUGAAAUCCUGGAGCUCAACUCCAGAACUGCCUUUGAUACUGAGGAUCUUGAGUUCGGGAGAGGUGAGUGGAACUGCGAGUAUAGAGGUGAAAUUCGUAGAUAUUCGCAAGAACACCAGUGGCGAAGGCGGCUCACUGGCCCGAUACUGACGCUGAGGCACGAAAGCGUGGGGAGCAAACA